UCAGGCAGUGGGGUAAUUCUGUGUUUGGGUAUCAUAAUGAUGCUCAUCCAGCAGGAGGGAAGGCUUGAGUGUGGUUCCAGCCAUGGUUGAUAAAGAAGCAGUGGCCAUGAUGGGGAUGCUGGGUCCCUUGUUUGGCUCGUCUAGUCCUUGUGUCAUCUGUUUUCAGACAUGAUAAUGGAGGGUCUUGUUUUUGUCUUUCUCCAUUGUGGUGGUCACAGACUGGCCUUGUCUGGGUUGGGUCCGUGAGAUGGCUGUCAGCAAGAGAACACGGAGGCCAGGCCCUGGCUGUCAGGGCUGCUUCUCCCUUUCUCACACUAAGACUCACUUUUUCAGCUGGGCAGAUGCCCAUGUCCCCCAAGCCUGUGGCAGUAAUGAUGAUGGCUAAUAUUUGUAGGAGACCUGUGAAGCACCUGGCAGUUUUCUAAGCUCUUCACACAUGUGAACUGAUUUCAUCUUGGUCACAGACCUGGGGGGUGGGGACCCUGCUCUGCCCCUGCGGCUCCAGGCCCUGCAGCCACCAGUGGCUGGGCCAGGUUGGCACAUUCUUGCCCCAUCUCCACUACGGCUGGCCCUACAGUAGAGGGAAACACCUUCUUACGUCAGGGAAGAAGCGACUCGAGGCUUUUAAUUUUUACUUUCUUUUUCCUCUCAAUUUUACUUUUUAUUAUGGAACUUUUCAAACAAGGAGGGAAAUAGGCAGUGAACCCAUUUCCACCCUCACCAGGAGCUGAGGCCACCAGUUUCCUGCCAUUUUGCUGCUUCCCCCACCUUUUAUUUUCCCUUGGAGUAUUUUAAAGCAGAUCUCAGGUGUAUACAUCAUUUCACCUAUAAAAAAAUCUGGCAUACUUUUAAAAAUAUAAUCACAAUUCCAUUCUCACACUCUAUGACCUAAUGAUAAUUUUGUAAUAUCACGUGAGACCUAGCAUUCUUUCCAGGUACUUCAAAAAUAUCUUUUUUGCCUUUAGUUGUUUGACUCAGAAUGCAAACAAGAGCUGCACACCACGUUUUGUUGUUGUCUUUCUUUAGUCUCUCUUACGCGCUAAACACCUCACGUUAUUUUUCAAAUAGUGCGUUGUUUAUAGCAUGUUGAUUUGCAGCAAAAUUGCUCAGAAAGAACAAAGUCCCCGAUUUCCCAUUCUCCAGCCCCUUCGUCCCUCCCCCCAAUUAUUAAACAGUGUCCCCGAUUAUUAAGGUCUCACAUUAGUGGGAUACAUUCAUUACAAUCAUGACCCAACACUGAGACAAUAUUAUAAUUAAAACCCGUAGCUUACAGUAGGACCACUCUGCAUGUACGGUUCUGUGGUUUUGACAGAUGCCAAACGUCCUGAUCUAACAUUGUGGCUUCAUGCAGAAUAGUUUCACUGGCCUAAAAAUGCCCUGUAUUCCCAUUCUUGUCCCUUUCCCUUUUCCCCGAAACCCAGGGCAACAUCUGAUCUUUUAACCAUAUGCCCCUGCCUUUUUCCAUUCCAUUGAUUUCUUGGGAAAACAGGGUUUUUGUUCCCACACACUGGAUUUGGUUGACGGCUUCCCUGUGUUGUCCUGUUAUUUCCUGCAAAUAGGCAAUUAGCAGCUUGGUUGGAUUCAUGUUCAUUUUUCAGGCAGAAUUCUGUCACAGGGGCUGGGUGCUUCCUUCCAUAUGGAGGCGCACAGGACCCCACCACCCUCUCUCAGGGAUGUCAAGAUGGGUCCUUGGGCCAGUGGCCUAGCCUCCCCUGUCCACAGAGUGUCCCUGUCAACCUUUCAGGCAUCGUGUAGAGCAGCCAUCAAGGAUCCUUGCUGAAGGAGUGUCCCCUUCUAUCUUUCUUCUUGUAGAAAGAACUUUCCCUCCUUUUUCAUUCAGCUAUUCUGAGCUUUCUUUCCUCAACAGUUUUUACCUUGAACUUGUCUUCAUCAGCUUCAGAAAAUGCAGGAUAAGUGCUUUUUCCUUUAUGUACCAGUUUACCCAUUUUCAGAAUAAUGAGUCAGUGCCCUAGAAUUGCAGGGUUAUUUUUGAAAGAUUUUAAGUGUAUGUGCCAUCCAUUAUUUCAGACGCACUUGACAGAAAAAUAAAAAAAACUGUCAUUGAGCUGAAAUUUGGAUAUAUUGGGCAUCCUGGGUUUUUAUUUGGUCAUCUGUGGCCCCCACCUGAGGCCCACUCUCAUCACUGUGCCUACGUCAUGGGGUCCUCGUGACAGUCUGAGGGAGGUAGGGUGUAAAAUGCUUUGUCAGUGGAGAAAGCUGGAAAGUGGAAACCGGAGCCUGGGAGCCCAGCGGCUGCGAGUGUGCUUGCCCUGCCCCUGUGCACCUGCUCUCUGUGGUCAUCUUCGCAUGGGCUGCCCCUCGAGCGGCAUGGUGAGCUUACCCCGGGAAUGGCUUAACACCUCCUGCUAGCUUCCCCGGGACGUGAUCACAGUGUGGACAUGAUGGACAUCACCAAGCAGAAGGACUGCUAGAUGAAGCUGAAGAAGUUUUUGCACUACGAAUACAGCACCAACCUGAAGCGAGUCCUCAAGUUCACCAACCUCAAGUUCUAUGACACUAGCAGGUCCAGCUUCAUGGAACCUCCUGACGUUGUAAAAAACAGCCUUGGGGAGAAAACUACUGGCCUGACGAUGCUUUGCUGGCUAAACCCAAAGUGCCCGAGUCCUGCCUGACGUGUGUGAAGGACAGCUACACUGACAUCCUCAUCGGUUCAGGAGGUGACUCUGCCUGGUUCCACGUGCUCAAGGUGAUCAAAUGCUACAAGUGCACUAUCCCACAUGGCCAGGUGCUCUUCAUCUCAUCAGCUGGGCCUGGGUGGCCCCAGGGACCCCAGGACCUGGGUCUCCUGCCUCACAGCCUGCUGCUGCUCCUGGGAAAUGAAGC